AUUGAACGUUGGCGGCAGGCCUAACACAUGCAAGUCGAGCGGAUGAAGGGAGCUUGCUCCUGGAUUCAGCGGCGGACGGGUGAGCAAUGCCUAGGAAUCUGCCUGGUAGUGGGGGAUAACGUCCGGAAACGGGCGCUAAUACCGCAUACGUCCUGAGGGAGAAAGUGGGGGAUCUUCGGACCUCACGCUAUCAGAUGAGCCUAGGUCGGAUUAGCUAGUUGGUGGGGUAAAGGCCUACCAAGGCGACGAUCCGUAACUGGUCUGAGAGGAUGAUCAGUCACACUGGAACUGAGACACGGUCCAGACUCCUACGGGAGGCAGCAGUGGGGAAUAUUGGACAAUGGGCGAAAGCCUGAUCCAGCCAUGCCGCGUGUGUGAAGAAGGUCUUCGGAUUGUAAAGCACUUUAAGUUGGGAGGAAGGGCAGUAAGUUAAUACCUUGCUGUUUUGACGUUACCAACAGAAUAAGCACCGGCUAACUUCGUG
rnacentral:rRNA from 1 species